GACGAACGCUGGCGGCGUGCCUAAUACAUGCAAGUCGAACGAGAGCGACCGGUGCUUGCACUGGUCAAUCGAGUGGCGAACGGGGGAGUAACACGCGGGGAACCUGCCCAUCAGAGGGGGAUAACAUCCGGAAAAGGAUGCUAAAACCGCAUAGGUCUUCGAGCCGCAUGGCUUGAAGAGGAAAGGAGGCGCAAGCUUCUGCUGAUGGAUGGACCCGCGGUGAAUUAGCUAGUUGGUGAGGUAACGGCUCACCAAGGCCGUGAUGCAUAGCCGACCUGAGGGGGUGAUCGGCCACCUUGGGACUGAGACACGGCCCACACUCCUACGGGAGGCAGCAGUAGGGAAUCUUCCGCAAUGGACGCAAGUCUGCCGGUGCAACGCCGCGUGAGUGAAGAUGGUUUUCGGAUCGUAAAACUCUGUUGUUAGAGAAGAACAAGUGCUAGAGUAACUGUUAGCGCCUUGACGGUAUCUAACCAGAAAGCCACGGCUAACUACGUG
rnacentral:rRNA from 1 species